GUGUGGGUAGUUGAUAUUUUCGCAAGUCUUUAAGCUUAUUAUAGUCCUUAUAAAUUUUCAAAUAUACUUGUAGAUAGUUGGUAUUAUCAAACUCCAUACCAACUCUCAAAGAAUAAGAAUCAUUAAGCAUCUAAAGCUUAGUACCAAAAAUUUGAUACCCUUGGUUAUUCUUCAUACUUUUUGUAAUUGGGGUGUAACAUAAAAAUCAAUUCAAUGAAUCAAUCUAGAUCAACU
rnacentral:lncRNA from 1 species